rnacentral:rRNA from 1 species
AUACGGAGGGGGCUAGCGUUGUUCGGAAUUACUGGGCGUAAAGCGCACGUAGGCGGAUUAAAAAGUUAGAGGUGAAAUCCCAGGGCUUAACCCUGGAACUGCCUUUAAAACUAGUAGUCUAGAGUUCGAGAGAGGUGAGUGGAAUUCCAAGUGUAGAGGUGAAAUUCGUAGAUAUUUGGAGGAACACCAGUGGCGAAGGCGGCUCACUGGCUCGAUACUGACGCUGAGGUGCGAAAGCGUGGGGAGCAAACAGGAUUAGAAACCCUAGUAGUCC